rnacentral:tRNA from 1 species
GCUCCUGUGGUGUAGCUCGGCCAAGCAUUCCAGCCUUUCGAGUUGGAGAACCCGGGUUCGAAUCCCGGCAGGAGCACCA